rnacentral:rRNA from 1 species
AUCAAGACGAAGGGACAAGGGGAUACUUUCAGGGAAAGGGCUUCUGGAAAAAGAAGUCACGAAAGUGGUUAGACACCCUCAGGGAAGAGAGACCCGCAGAGCCAACCAAGGAGUAGACCGUUGCUCGAGUACCGGUUAAGCGGUGACGAAAGAGGAUGACUACAACCUCUCAUUGGUGGAUCCGGUCCCCAAGAGUAUAACGCUGUCCUUAAGGGUAGACUGUGGUCCCUCACUAGACAAUCUGGUUCCUCAUUGGUAGACCUGGGUCCCUCGAUGGUAUACCUGGUCCCUCCAUGGUAGACCUUGGUCCCUCAUCGGCUGACCGAGGUACUUUAAGAUUCGGCUGCUCCUGGCUAGUUAUAACAGCUAACGCGUUAAGCACUCCGCCUGAAAAGUAUAAUCGCAAGAUUGAAAUUCAAAGGAAUUGACGGGAGUCUACACAAGCGGUGGAGCAUGUGGUUUAAUUCGAUAAUACGCGCAGAACCUUACCAACUCUUGCUAAUUUUUUUAUAAAAUUUUAUAUAAAGAACAGGCGUUGCAUGGCUGUCGUCAGCUCGUGUUGUGAAAUGUUUGGUUAAAUCCUUUAACGAGCGCAACCCUUAUUGUUAGUUACUAAUUUAUUAUAAAAAUAAAAGGACUCUAAUGAAAAAAUUAAUGAUAGGUUAAUGGAAGGUGAGGAUGACGUCAAGUCUUCAUGGCCCUUAUGAGUUGGGCUACACACGUGCUACAAUGAUAAUUACAAUGAGAGGCAAUAAUUUUAAAGUUGGAGCAAAUCUUUAAAAAUUAUCUUAGUUCGGAUUAAGGGCUGAAACUCGCCCUUAUGAAGCUGGAAUCGCUAGUAAUCGCAAAACAGCAUGUUGCGGUGAAUAUGUUACUGGACUUUGUACACACCGCCCGUCACAUCAGGGAAGUUAAUUGUUUUUAAAAUAAUUUUUAGUUUUUUAAUAAUUUUAAACAAUUAUUUUAAUAAAAUAAUUUAUAUUAUAAAUUAAAAAAAUAUAAUUCCUAAAAAGUAA